rnacentral:rRNA from 1 species
UACGUAGGUGGCAAGCGUUGUCCGGAAUUAUUGGGCGUAAAGAGCUCGUAGGCGGCUUGUCACGUCGACUGUGAAAACCCGGGGCUCAACUCCGGGCCUGCAUUCGAUACGGGCAGACUAGAGUUCGGUAGGGGAGACGUGGAAUUCCUGGUGUAGCGGUGAAAUGCGCAGAUAUCAGGAGGAACACCGGUGGCGAAGGCGGGUCUCUGGGCCGAUACUGACGCUGAGGAGCGAAAGCGUGGGGAGCGAACAGG